CGGUUGUGAUGCUGCGCCGUAACGAGGACAAGCCACGCUUCCGCAGCAUCGUUCAUGCAGUGCAGGCCGGCAUCUUUGUGGAGAGCACUGGCUCAGUGAGUUGGAGAUCUUUGCCAUCAUUUUUGCAGCUGCCAUUCAUGACUACGAGCACACAGGGACCACCAAUAACUUCCAUAUUCAGACAAGGUCAGACACCGCCAUGUUGUACAAUGACCGAGCUGUUCUGGAGAACUACCACGUCAGUGCUGCAUAUCGCCUUCUACAGCACAGUGAUGACAUGAACAUUCUGUCUAAUCUCUCCAAAGACGAGUGGAGAUUACAGUGCAAGUCAUUGCUUCUAAAAUACUGCCUCCUACUGGUGCUUAGAGGGAGCUACAGCUGAUGAUACCAGGGAGUAACACGUCACCUUAUUUUACAGUCAAGCAGAAUCAAAUGACUCAUUUUAGGGACAAGUUGAGUAGUUUGGGGCAGAGUUACAUCGAUCUGGCACUGCAUUGCUGCAGAAAUAUAGAAGUGACAGCAACAGGAUGAAAGCAUCUCAGUCUCCUCUGAUUAAACUUUCCCCAAGCUUCAUCU
ensembl:lncRNA